GAUGAACGCUGACAGAAUGCUUAACACAUGCAAGUCUUUGGCAAAGCUGUGCUUGCACAGUCUAGCCAAGGCGGACGGGUGAGUAACGCGUAAGGAACUUGCCCUGCAGUCAGGGAUAACAGACGGAAACGACUGAUAAGACCUGGUAAAGUCAGGCGGACUCAUGUCCAGCCUGAUGAAAAGAGAUGCUGCAGGAGAGCCUUGCGUCCUAUUAGCUUGUUGGUGGGGUAACGGCCCACCAAGGCGAUGAUAGGUAGCCGGCCUGAGAGGGUGGACGGCCACAAGGGGACUGAGAUACGGCCCUUACUCCUACGGGAGGCAGCAGUGGGGAAUAUUGGACAAUGGGGGCAACCCUGAUCCAGCAAUUCUGUGUGCACGAUGAAGGUUUUCGGAUUGUAAAGUGCUUUCAGCAGGGAAGAAAAAAAUGACGGUACCUGCAGAAGAAGCGACGGCUAAAUACGUGCCAGCAGCCGCGGUAAUACGUAUGUCGCAAGCGUUAUCCGGAAUUAUUGGGCAUAAAGGGCAUCUAGGCGGCCAGAUAAGUCUGGGGUGAAAACUUGCGGCUCAACCGCAAGCCUGCCCUGGAAACUAUGUGGCUAGAGUACUGGAGAGGUGGACGGAACUGCACGAGUAGAGGUGAAAUUCGUAGAUAUGUGCAGGAAUGCCGAUGAUGAAGAUAGUUCACUGGACGGUAACUGACGCUGAAGUGCGAAAGCUAGGGGAGCAAACAGG
rnacentral:rRNA from 1 species